UUUGAUUAUGAUGUUGGUUCUAUGGGUUUAUAUGUGUCAAAACUGAAAAAAACAUAGAUUUUUAAACACUGCAAUUUAUUGUACUUCAAUUCUAAUUUUUGUUUUAAAAUUACACAAUUUCUCUUUUAUUUACUUUCAGAAUCAGUUCACUUUCCUAAAAGUAAUAACAAGAUUUCUGCUCAGAAAUUAUCCACCUCAUUACCCUCUAAGCAGGAUGUACAGAAUAACGCAAUAGAACAAAAGGAAUAAAAAGUGCCUUCAUUCAUUUUGAAGUUGUUACUUCUAAACCAAGUGUCCCCAGACAAUCUCUACCGAGUAUUCCAGAGCAAGCAACAAGGAAAACUUCUUUCUUACCAGAUGCAGACAGAACCAAAAAAGUGAUUUGUGCUGAUUUAAUUAGGAAGAAGACCAAGAAAUCAAGCAACAGUCAUAAGUCAGGUAAACAUUAAUAAUUGUUAUUAAGCAAAUCUUGUAGUCCACUAAUUCAUUCACUCAGAUAACAUUUAUUGGGCUUCUACUACACACCAGGCACUGUGUCAAUUAUUGAACAAACAAAAUAGCAAAGACCAUGGUCUCUACCCUUGGAUUUUACAUUUCAGUGGGAAACAUUCAUGUCAGUAAUCAACCCAAUAGGAUAAGUAUAUAAUGGAGGUGUGUAUAAAGUCUAUUGGAAGGAUAGGAAAACAUUCACAGAAGAAACCAUAAUUAGCUGAGACAUGAAGAAUGAGAAAGAUUAUUCUAGGCAAACAAAUGAAACACUGUAGAAAAAAAUCUUACAGGGAAGAGGAAUGCAUUUACUAAGAUACAGACAUUAAAGCAUGGUGUGUUUUGUAGAAAUGAAAAUUGUUUCAGAAUUGCUUUAGCUAAAAGUUCAAAGUAGAGAAUUGUAGAAGAAAAAUCUUAACUGGUAAAUAAGGAUUGAAUCAUUAAGAUUCUGGUAGGCUAUAAAAAUCAUUUACUUUUUAUCCUAUUAUCAAAGGAAAACUAUUGAAGAAUAUCAGAAUUUGCCUUUGCAAAAGAGGAAAAAUGGAAUUAGAUUGGAC
rnacentral:lncRNA from 1 species